rnacentral:rRNA from 1 species
AGCAGCCGCGGUAAUUCCAGCUCCAAUAGCGUAUAUUAAAGUUGUUGCAGUUAAAAAGCUCGUAGUUGAAUUUCGGGAUUAGUACGUUGGUCGUGCCUUAGGUACGUACUGGUGUUACUGGUUCCUACCUUCUGACGAACCAUCAUGUCAUUAAUUUGGUGUGGCGGGGAAUCAGGACUGUUACUUUGAAAAAAUUAGAGUGUUUAAAGCAGGCUCGCGCUUGAAUACAUUAGCAUGGAAUAAUGAAAUAGGACGUUGACCCUAUUUUGUUGGUUUCUAGGGUUGACGUAAUGAUUAAUAGGGAUAGUUGGGGGCAUUAGUAUUCAAUUGUCAGAGGUGAAAUUCUUGGAUUUAUUGAAGACUAACUACUGCGAAAGCAUUUGCCAAGGAUGUUUUCAUUAAUCAAGAACGAAAGUUAGGGGAUCGAAGACGAUCAGAUACCGUCGUAGUCUUAACCAUAAACUAUGCCGACUAGGGAUCGGAUGAUGUUAUUUUUAAUGACUCAUUCGGCGCCUUACGG